UACAGAGGGUGCAAGCGUUGUUCGGAAUCAUUGGGCGUAAAGGGCGUGUAGGCGGUCUGUUAAGUCAUGUGUGAAAUCCCUCGGCUCAACCGGGGACGACGCAUGAAACUGACAAGCUAGAGUACCAAAGAGGGGGGUGGAAUUCCCGGUGGUAGCGGUGAAAUUCGUAGAUAUUGGGAAGAACACCGGGUGGCGAAGGCGGCGACCUGGUCCAUUACUGACGCUGAGGCGCGACAGCGUGGGGAGCAAACAGG
rnacentral:rRNA from 1 species